UGGCACCAUUGGACUCCAGCCUGAGUAACAGAGUGAGACUCCAUCUCAAAAAAAAAAAAAAAAAAUGUAUUGUUGGAUCAUAGAUAUGCAUCAUUUACAGGUUUUUCAUUGAUGGCUCCUCUGUACCCCACCAAAUCUGAACCAGUACACACACCCACCAGCAGUGGUUACAGGUGUCUACUUUCUCAUGUCUUUGUUCUUAUCAGAUGAUAUCUUUCCACAGUUUAAAAACUUGCCUUUGACAAAAGAUCAGCAGAAAAGCAGAAGAAAGAGAAGAAAGCUAGCCUUCUGAGUGUUAAAUAAAUUCAGAUGUAUUCCUACAGUGCAUCUGUGUCAGAAAGCAGUCAAGGAAGUGCUUUAUCAAAAUGGAAGACACAGAAUCCAGGAACCAACAGCCCCAGCAAAGGAAACAGGAAGAUUUCAGGGAGCAGGGAGAGCCACAGGAGGCUGGCCAAGAGUGUGCAUCGCUGUCCCGAGGAGUGCAGUGCGGAGCGCCCCGGGUGGAGGGUGUCUCCGAAGGACCCACCAGAGCACCUCCAGGAAAGGGCUUGUCAAUCAUGAAGAUUGUCAAUCAGUGAAGUCUCCAUAAAAGGCCCAAGAGGAGAAGGUCCGGGGAGCUUCCAGCUAGCUAAGCGCGUGGAGGUUCCUGAAGGGCUGUGCCCAGGGAGGACGUGGAAGCUCCACACCCCUUCCCCCGUGCUGUGUCUAUGCAUCUCUUCAUCUGUACCCUUCGUAACAUCCUUUAUAAUAAACCGGUAACUGAAAGUAAGUGUUUCCCCGAGUUCGGUGAGCUGCUCCAGCAAAUUAAUUGAACCUAGAGGGGGCUUGUUGGGACCUUAACUUUAAGCUGAUCAAUCAGAAGUCCUGGAGGCCGGAACUGGUGUCUGAAGGCGGGGUGGUGCUUUUGGGGACUGAGCCCUCAGCCUGUGGGAUCUGAUACUCUCACCAGGAAGGCAGAGUCGGAAUUGAAUUGGAGGACACCCAGCUGAUUUCCACGGCAACGUUGCUCCCUUUCUGGCUGGCAGGGAGAAAUCCCCACACAUACUUUGGGGUCACAGAAGUCUUCUUUGUUGAUGAUUGUGGUGGUGGUGGUGUGAGAACAGAGGAAAAACAGGGCUUGCAUUUUUACAAACCGUAUUGCAAAAGGUAGAAGAAAAAGUGUUGAAAAUAAAAACCAUAAAGUGACUGUUCUGUUUUCCAAUUAGUUAGCUUUGAGGUGCAGCUGGCUUCUCCUUGGUUUUAAAUCAUGGUGACGCUGGUGGUGGACACAGAGAAGAGCCCCACAGGCGGAAUCCUGGGCCUUCCAGAAGAGCAGUUCAGAAGCAACCUUGUCCCACCAAGCUUGGGUCUGACCAUUCACACCUGUUGGUUUUGAAUUCAACUGCUCCAUGGAGGCGUUUGCCCAAACCUUGGCUUCAAGGUCUCUUGCUUCCCUGCUGGACUGUAAACUCCCUGAGGCCAGAGAUUGUGCCAAUCCUGUUCACUGCUGUAUUUUCAGCACUGACAACAGCACUUCAAGCAAUAUGGGCAUUCAUCUAUUCAAUGAAUGAGUGGUGCACAAUGGACACAAUUUCCUGCCCUCCCAGAGCAUCUGAAUGAAUGAACAAAUGAACAAAGGAUGCAUUACUCUUAGCUUGCUAAUGUAAACUAAAAUUGCUGGCAGCCAGUGACUUGACAAUAUAUAUUUAUGAAUAAAUAACAUUUUCCACCCUUGAUUAUCAUUGAGGUAAAGGAGAGUGGUUCUGAGAAGAACUUAUAAAAUUUAUCAGAAGAGUUAAAAACAUAUAUACAGGGUUGAAAGAACCCAGAAAUGAAUUCACAUUUGGUUGGUAACUAUAAGAUAAGCUCCAAUCUUUGACUUUCCAGAAAACAAUGCAAGGGGGGAAGCUGAAGACUUCCCCUGAGACUUUAGCCGACCACUGUGAAAAUGUGCUGAGCCUGCUCUAUGGACGUGGCCAGAGCAGGAUUCCAGAGAAGUCUCCCAAGAUAUUCUGUAAGUUAAUUAGAUUCUCUUUCAAUGUUGAACUGCUGGAAACUUCAAUAGCAACUGCUGUGCUAAGACAAUUAUUCUGAGAAAAAUGAGCUUCAAUAAUCGCCAUGAAAUGAAACUUGAAUCCUGAAGAAAUUCCAUAAUCAACUCACAGGGUGAGGAGCCGGGGCAAAGUUGAGGGAAGCGUGGCCUUUUUUUUUUUUUGAGACAAAAUCUCACUCUAUCCC